GCUGGCCAAUGAUGACUGCAGUUAUUAGUGGACAGAUUGAAUGAGAGAUGCGGAUAUGGGACUGAGACCAGCA